UCAAAUUUGUGCUUUAUUAAUCUAAUUACUAGUUUGAACAAUGAAGGAUACCUAAAAAUAGGCCAAAAGGCUUGUACGUAGAAAGCAUAAAUUAGAACUAACGGCAACUGGAAGCUAUAUUUGAACAGAAUGCAGAGAUGAACUUAAGUGGAAGAUUCUAUAGAAGCAUGAAUUUUAAUAUAUUCGUUGAAAGAAAUGGUGUUUUAACCGAGUCUUGAGACAAAUGUAAUUAGAACGAUUUGUACUUACAACAUUAAAGAAUUGAGCGAAAAAU